rfam:Triticum aestivum genome assembly, contig: Triticum_aestivum_CS42_TGACv1_scaffold_093131_2AL
CAACUACUCCCUCCGUCCGAGAAUACUUGUCAUAGAAAUGGAUACAAAUGGAUGUAUCUAGAACUAAAAUACAUCUAGAUACAUCCAUUCCUCGGACAAGUAUUUCCGGACGGAGGGAGUACAUG